rnacentral:rRNA from 1 species
ACCUACGGGAGGCAGCAGUGGGGAAUAUUGCACAAUGGGGGAAACCCUGAUGCAGCAACGCCGCGUGAGCGAUGAAGGCCUUCGGGUUGUAAAGCUCUGUCUUCUCUGACGAAGUAUGACGGUAAGAGAGGAGGAAGCCACGGCUAACUACGUGCCAGCAGCCGCGGUAAUACGUAGGUGGCGAGCGUUGUCCGGAAUUAUUGGGCGUAAAGGGUGCGUAGGCGGUCUUUUAAGUGGGAUGUGAAAUCCUCAGGCUUAACUUGAGAAUUGCAUUCCAAACUGGAAGACUAGAGUGCAGGAGAGGAAAGUGGAAUUCCCAGUGUAGCGGUGAAAUGCGUAGAGAUUGGGAGGAACACCAGUGGCGAAGGCGACUUUCUGGACUGUAACUGACGCUGAGGCACGAAAGCGUGGGGAGCAAACAGGAUUAGAUACCCCGGUAGC